UCCGUAGGCAGCAAGCGUUGUUCGGAAUUACUGGGCGUAAAGAGUGUGUAGGCGGUGCUCCAAGUCUGGUGUGAAAUCUCCCGGCUUAACUGGGAGGGUGCAUUAGAAACUGGAAUGCUAGAGGAUGGGAGAGGUAAGCGGAAUUCCUGGUGUAGCGGUGAAAUGCGUAGAUAUCAGGAGGAACACCUGUGGUGUAGACAGCUUACUGGACCAUUUCUGACGCUGAGGCGCGAAAGCUAGGGGAGCAAACAGG
rnacentral:rRNA from 1 species